GAGAGUUCCUGUCUUUGGUUAGGACAUCGUCUUUUCAUGUCGAAGACCGGGGUUCGAUUCCCGUAAGGGAUG
rnacentral:tRNA from 1 species